UUUUCAUUUUCAGCCCCCAUUUUAGAAAAAUAAAGAAAAAAAUCAGAGAGCUUCUUUGCUCUCUCUCCCUUCCCUCUUCUCUUAACCUCCUCCAUGGCCGGCCAUGGGCUCAUCGGUGGUCGUCCGCGCCCACACCCUGAACUGCUGUCAGUAUCGGGCGAAACAAAUCCUCUUAUCCUCCUACGAACGGGGCCGAAGACAAAGCCUUCACAAUCCACCGCGACAGAGGAGAAAAGGGGAGGCCUUUUGGUUCGUCGCUCCCUUCCACGGCCUUUGGCUGAACCCCCUAGGGGUUCAACGACCUUCGAGUCGGAGAGGGACACCAGAGUACCCCCUAACGGUGGAUCGGAGGUCUAUGGAGGGUCAACGGGGGUGAAAACCGGCCAUUUUGGUGCAGGGAAGCAGCCAUCGGGCUUCGCGCGUGCCGAGGGCGCACAUGGGAGGGGGGUACGGCGUGAGGGUGACCUAGGGUUUCCAUUUUCCUAAACAUGAGUUUAGGUCUUGGGCUAACAGGCCUAAUUUGUAAUGGGUUAGUGUUUAAGUUAAUGGGUCUGUAAAUGGGGUUUUGGAAAAAUGGGCCGAUUUAACUUUGUAACUAGACAUUUAAUGGUCUUGGGACUUUAUUUGGUUAUUUUUGGUUUCUAACGGGCCGGGCCAAAAUAGGGCUCUUACACAUGCAACUGUCAUACCACUUAAUCGGACAAUUUUGUAUUUGUAUGAGAGACAUAAAAAGAAAAAAGAAAGAAAAAAAAAAGUCCAACAGAGCUUUGUCCUAAUCUCACAAACAAAAAGAUACAGACAGAGAAAGAGAAUCAAAGUUUGAGUUUUCCCCUUUUUUUAUUUUUUUUUCUGACAAAAGUUAAGGUUGUUGUAGAAAAAAAACAAGGAAAAAAGAACCCUAACCCUGUUUUUAGUUUUUUUUUUUUACUCUGCUUGCUCUUUCAUGGUGCUACAGCAAAGGCCAAAACUUUACUCUUUUUAAUUUUUUUUUUCUCUAGUAAAGCUUAGAAGUUUCAGACUUUUGGUGUUGUUGUGAGUGAAGUUCAAGCUUUAGUUAACUCUCUCACACUUUGUUGGAUCUUUUAUUUAAGGUGAAAUGAAUUAGGGUUUAUGUGAAAGGUUGAAAAAAGGGGGUUUUUUUUAAAGGGUUCUUUUGCUUAUUUAUUGUUUUUAAUAAUUUGGGUUUUUGUUGUUUUGGCCAGAAAGGGUUUUGGUAUUUUGAUUUGCAGUUUGUUAGUUGGGAAAAGUGAAAUUGGAGUGUUUAAUGAGUGAUUUUGAAGGCAGUUAAAGAAAUGCCAUUUUCUGGGUAUUUUCUUAGGGUCUUAAUGAAUUGUUAGUUUUUUUUUUUUUGGUGUGGUGGUUUUUUGGGUUAGUUUUAAAAAAUUAAUUUCUUGGUUCACCCUUAGUAUUUGAGCUGGAGCGAUUAGGAGUACCAGGGACAAUGUCUUCCUUAAGUAGGGAGCUGGUCUUUUUGAUAUUAUAGUUCCUUGAUGAGGAAAAAUUCAAGGAAACUGUUCAUAAAACAAGAGUCUGGUUUUUUCUUCAAUAUGAAACAUUUUGAAGAUCAAGUCCAGGCGGGUGAAUGGGAUGAAGUCAAGCGUUAUCUAUGUGGGUUCACUAAGGUUGAAGAUAACCCUUGCUUGACGAAGAUUUUCUUUGAAAUUAGAAAGCAGAAGUAUUUGAAAGCUCCCAACAGGCAGGAUCGAGCAAAGGCUGUUGAAAUUCUUGUAAAGGAUCUGAAGGUUUUUGCAUCCCUUAACAAGGAACAUUUUAAAGAGAUUACACAGUUGCUUACUCUUGAUAACUUUAGACAAAAUAAGCAGCUUUCAAAAUACAGUGACAAGAAAUCUGCUCGGAAUAUCAUGCUUGUAGAGCUUAAGAUGCUGAUUGGAGCUAAUCCCUUAUGUCGCGAUAAGCUUGCAUUCCCAGCUUUUAAAAUUCACAACUAAGGACCUUAAUGAACCAGAGGUGACUUUUACUUAUUCUAUGGUCGUUUUGAGUGUUAAUAAGGUCCUUAGUUGUGAACUUUUAAAAGUUGGGAAUGCAAGCUGGGAAUGUAAUUGAGUGUGUAUGCGUUCAUCUGCACUAUUUUCCCACAUUUGAUUCACAGAUUUCAAAUAACUGCUUGAGCUUCCUUGGUGUAUCAGUUAUCCCUUGUGUUGUUGGAUACAGGUUAUAUCUGUUUCUAUGCUAUUUUGCAGUCGAUAUGUUCAUGGAAGAAUGCAUAGAUCUGCAACGGAGGAUAAAAGAUGGUAUUAUCAAAAGACCUAGUGUUGUAAGUUUUGCUCCUACACGAGAAACUCCUACUUUCCUAGAAACAACUUAUCCAUUAACCAUUUUUUAUGAGUGAUUAAUGCUUGUUUGUUUAUAUGACCACUCUAUGUUCUCGGAAGGUUACUGUUCUUAGAACUACAAGGAAAUGAAUGAAUCCAAUGGAAUAAAAUGGUACUCAAGUUAUUGGUGAAA